GAUGAGGAACUGAAUCAGAAUCAGGGUCGUCUCUAUCCUCCUCUUUCCAACAUUAGGGAGGUUUCUUUACAGAUGGCUGUGAGGAUAAGAUUUGUGUUUAUACAUACACACAAUGUGGUGGAGUUUCUGUACAGUAAAGGAAUGGCAUUUCGGUACCCAGAGCCACUGGAUAAGGAGGCGUAUGUGAGAUCCAUUGUGUGGAACACGGAGUACGAUUCCUUCCUCCCAGACAUCUACGAACGGGCUGGAGUGUCCCAUAGUCCUAUAGUGGAGUAAUCAUACACCCUAUAGCAUACACCUGAAACAGUCACACCCUUCAUUUACAGCUGUGUAAUGUUUAACUAUCACACAUCCCCAUGGGGAGUGAUUCCUAAACUCCUUCUGCUAAUGUAAAUGUACAGUGUUGCUAUUAUUAAAACACUCCACGUGUGUGUGUGUGUGUGUGUGUGUGUGUGUGUGUGUGUGUGUGUGUGUGUAUCAGCUAAUACAUUUAGUGCUUUGUGUUUC